rnacentral:tRNA from 1 species
GGUAGUAACUCAGUGGUAGAGCGUCAGCUUCCCAAGCUGAAAGUCGCGGGUUCGACCCCCGUCUAC